GCUCUCGUAGCUCAGUGGAUUAGAGCGCUUGCUUGCGGAGCAAUAGGUCGCAGGUUCGAGUCCUGCCGAGAGCACCA
rnacentral:tRNA from 1 species